CCCUCUGCGUGCAGCCAAGAUCUGCGAGGGCAGAGAAAAGAGGAGGAAGAUCUGGUGCCGAUGACUUGGGAACAGUAUCACUGACUGGAUAGGCAGGGUCGGCUUCUUCAGGGUUGGGUUCUGCAGGUUCUAUUUGUUGCCACUGCAGGAUUUCCUAUAGACUGAAAUGUGAACAAAAAGGGGAAAGUGGAAGUGGGGGAUCCCCACUCUCCCUGAAUAUUAGGAAUCCCAUUCCUGCCAUUCCAGCCAGAACCACAAGGCUGCUCUGGAGUUGGCUCUGCGUCCAGGCCUCCUUGAAAAUUCGGGGUGAUGCUGGGUUACGCUGAAGGAUACUGUAGGGAAAAACAGUGAACUCGUGGCCAGUUUAGUCGCCUUGAUUCUGUUCUGCUAGCCCAGUCUACCUGGUAAUAUUUACUUCCCAGACUCCUAAUGUACCUGCUGUGUGAUUGUGUCCGGAUUGUACAGCUGCAUUCAGUAGGGGGGCCAAGAUAGCCAUGCUUAUCCCAGCUAAUUCACAGCUAGAGUUAGGACUUUUAUGUCUGUCAAACCCAACAAAACUUUAUAACCUUUACUGGCAAGUACUAUCAAGUGUUCAAGGAACAAGGAAAUUAAUUCUUAGUCAAGUUAUUACAGAGUGCAUUAGAAAGUGGCUACACUCCCCAGCUUGUUUUGAGAGAAAGUUUCAUAUUAUGAAAACUUAGGAUAGGAGGCAAGCAUGCAUUGUUUUUGCUAACAACAUAAAAACCAGGCAAGAAACACAAAGACUAAACAUAUAAAAGAAAGUUACUGGGCAAGAUAAUGCAUGGCAUCGGCACCCUACAAGUUCUUGCUGGCCAUGCCAAGAGUACCCGACUGCCCUUUGCUUGGCCAUUCUCUGGCUAUGAUUGCAGGUGACUCUUAAGGGAUCAGUCACCUCUUGGCAGCAAAGAGCAGUUUGCUUCUACUUUCUCCAAAACCAGUGAACCUACAGUCUCAGGGGUCUGCACAGCUAAUGCAAUCAUCCUCACAUGUGGCCUCUACCAUGACACUUUUCCUUCAUUUUCCUAGGAAUUCAGAGGCCUGGUGAAUCAGUAGAAGAUAUGGAAAGAAACAUCAACAGCUCUCCUGUGAGUCAAGCUCUGACCAGAAGUCACGUGUCUUCCGGCCCUGCCCAUGAGUAAGAGGUCCACCAUGCGGUCUGGAUAGUGGAAUUACCCGCCCUAGUUGAGGCUACCAAUAUAACUGAAAGGAUCUUGCCCUAGCCCGGACACUACAGCAGUGAGAGGCGGGGCCAAGGGACGUUUACCUUGAGGGCAUUUCCCCGCCCCUAGGCAACUUACCUGUGUUGCGGAAUGAGUUCCAAUGGGCUGCUGGCGCAUCAGUAAGGCCGCUUUAGGACCACGCCAGACCCAAGCUGUAAGUAUGCCUCCCACACCACGCGUCCAGCACAGAAAGCCAGACCCCGGCAGUCGCGGAGUUUCUCUCCAUAUUCUUAAAAUAAAGGCCACUUUACUUUAGAUUUUGUCUUCUAACCGCGCCGAAAACACUUCCAAGAACUAGUUUCUGAAUAUUAGUGUCUACUAUGAGUUGUCAGAAAUUCUCAGCUCCUCUUUUUUUGAAAUACAGCACCCACCAAUUUUCUCAGUCUAGACAUCUAGUUAAGACCAGAUUACAUCUUUUUUUUUUUUUUUUUUUUUUUUUGGUGCCGGGCAUUGAACUCACGACCAUGCACUUGCAAGGCAGGGGUUUACACCACUGAGCUAAAUCCCCAGCCCAGAUUACACCAUUUUAUUCCAUUGUUUUUGCCUUUAAUCUGGCUUUCCUCUUCAUUUCCUUGUUUAUUUGUUCAAAUCUCCUUCAGGUCACUAAUUCUCUCUUCAUCUGUGUCUAAUUUAAUGUUAAACCUGGUCACAGCCUUUAGUUGCAACUUGUAUGUAUUUUCAUUCUGCAAGUUCUGUUCAGUUUUCAGAUUUGUCCCAUCACUUUUGAAGUCUUUGUGUAUUCAGUUUAUACACAGCUAUUUUGUUAUAUAGCUCAUAAUACUGUUAUGGCUUAACUCUAACCAAUGUGCCUCCUCUUGUUCUGUAUGCUCUGAUAGGGUUUUCUAAUGCUUGUAGAAACUUAAGUUUCAGCUUCUUGUAACUUUCUCCCCUUUCCACAUGUUAGUGCUAAUGAGCUUUCCCGAGAUAAUUAACUUUCUACUUUCUUCUCCAAGUGUAAUUGCAGAUGUGCUAUUCUGAGAAUGUUUAUCCACAGGAUGGGAGUAAGGAAAGGCACCCAAAGCUCCAGAUGUUAUCAGAACUAAGUCCACAGCUUUACAGUUUCCAGAGGCUAUCAGGACUAAGUCAACAGCUUAACAGCUCUGUGGGUUUUUUUUUCUCUCUCUCUUGCUUUUAAAAUCCCUUUCUUCAGUCUCUGUGGCAUGCAGUCUCUGGGUCGAUCCUAAGGGGGCUGCGUCGCCAGGCCUGAAAUAAAAGCCUUUGCUCCAAAUUUCUUGAUUCCUUGCUUCCUUGGAUUUUAUUCCGGGGUCCGAGCUAUCUUAUUUAGGGGCUCGUCUGGGGUGGAAGCAAGACCCCCAACUCAAUUCUAAACACCUAAAAGUAAGUACUCUGGAGGGUUUGUUUGGACCACGGUCAAUUUGUACUUUUGGAGGGGACGCUCUCAAUUUGGGGAGCGGGAACCUCUUGAGGACAGAGUCAAUUGGUUUUUUGGGACGAAUCUCGUCCGUUUGUGACUCUGCCCCAGUGGGAAACUGCUCUGUUGGUUAAUUUGUUAAUCCCUCCAGAUCCCAAAAUUUGACCUAUUUUUGAGCAAAGACCAUUUUUGCUGCAGCUUGUCUUGUCUUGUAUGUCUGUCUGUAUGUCUGUUUGGCCUAACUGUUCCCCUUUUGGUUACCCAACUCUAACAGAACAUUCUCUCCUAGGAACCUCUUCUACGAGCCCAAAACAGGCAAAAGCGAUUCUGACCAUUAUUUUUGUCUCAUUGUUAUUCUGUCUCUUCCUCCUAAUCUUAUCUCUGUCUCUUAGAUUCUCCCACAGGAGAGAAGAACUGACAUCUCUGCUGGCCAUGGGGCAAACUGAAUCUAAAUCCAGCACGCCCCUUAGCCUUGUGUUUGAUCACUUCAAAGAAUUUGAGAGGUGGGCUGAAGGUUAUGGGGAGCCUGUUUUUAAAGGAAGACUAAUGACUUUUGCUUCUCAGGAGUGGCUGAUAGGGAAAAAUGGCAUAUGGCCCCCCGACUGGAUCCUUUGACCUGGGCACUGCCCAGGCUGUCCAUCGGUAUGCAUUUGGGCCCCCUUCUCACCCAGACCAAAUUGUUUAUAUUUGUGGAUUUAAAAAAUCAUAUUAAGUUUACCAAGUGAAACCAAGCCAUACUGUUUUUGAGCCAGUUAAGAAAUUUACAGUUUUAAAGUGUAGCAUUUUAAGGUGGUGAAAACACAUGAAAUGAUUCAAUAUAUUUUAGACUACUGAAAGAAAAUCACUUCAAGGGUUUUGUUGAAAGUUUCAAUGUUGUCUGAAAAGUGAGAGGAAAGGUAAUUGGCUGGUAAUAAGUAAAAAAGAGAGGGACAAAGAAAGUAGUUUUGUUUUCAAGUAAAAAUGUCUGGCUGGGCCAGAAUGUGAAAGAAGAUAGGAAAAGCUCAACUUGAGGGUGUAUAGGAAGUUGCAGAAAAAAAAUCAAGAGUAGCAACUCUAGCAAUGGUCCAAGCAAGAACAGAACAUAAGGCAGAAUUCCAUUCCAGACACUCCAAAAGGGGUUUUCAAAUAUCUGUCUUUUUUUUUUUUUUGUCUUUUUCACUUUUAUUGGUACCAGGGAUCAAACUCACAACUGCCUGCUUGCAAGGCAGAUGCUUAUGCCACUGAGCUAAAUCCCCAGCCCCGCUACUCUUGACUUCAAUAGGUCCUUGUACAAUCAAUAGACUAACUGUAUAUAUUAGACAACAAAUGCAGAACAUAAAGCUGAUGAUGAUCAGUCAGCAAGCCUAUGAACUUAUUCCCCAGGACCCAUAGCAUAUUAGGCCAAAGAUUUGGCCUCAGCCACUACAUCAGAGGGGAAUGUUAUGGCUUAACUCUGACCAAUGCACCUCCUCUUGUUCUGUAUGUGCCAAUAGGGUUAGGUUUCUAAUCCUUGUAAAAACUUAAGUUUCAGCUUCUUGUAACUUUCUCCCCUAUCCACGUUAGUGCUAAUGCGCUGUCCUGAGAUAAUUAACUCUCUACUUUCUUCUCCGAAUGUUAUUGCAGAUGUGCUAUUCCGAGAUAAUGUUUAUCCACAGGAUGGGAGUAAGGAAAGCUUACACAGGGUCCCAGGUCAGUUCCCAUGUCACACACACUCAGUCUGGUCUCACUCCAUCUGUCCAGGUCAGUUAUCAGGAUUAGACAGCACUGUGGCUUGAAUACAGGCAUCUCUCCAAAGCCUCAGGUGCUCAUGGAUGGUUGGAUCUAUGUGACUAUAGAUUAAGGGUGUGAUAACUAAAUUAGUCCAUUGAUUAGCUUGGUAUAUUUCUGGGUGUGGGUGGCACUAACCAAUAGGUUUGUAGAUUUGAUGAGAUAAAAGGGAAAGGAAGGCUCACUGCCUCCUUCUUACCAUGCCAUGGACUGUUUCUCCUCUGAGAUUCCCCUCCACCAUGCCAUCCUGCCUUGGAGCCAGCCAAUUAGGGACUGAAACCUCUAUAAAACCUGGGUCAAAAUAAACCUUUCCUCCAGUAACUUGCGGGUGUCAGGUAUUGUAGAGGACCACCUGGAUGGCUCCCUCGAAUAAAUAGCAAUUAUCUCCACCUUAGCUAAACCUGGCCUUAUCUCCAUCUACUAAUACGCACAGAGCUGGCUAAGCUACUGCCUUUUUCCCUUAAUUGGCUCUAAGCAAUGUAAAUAGGGCUGGCUGAGGUAUUGAUGUGUAAUCUUUGAUGCCAAGUGACAGCCCUGUUUUUUCACUUUCAUUAUUUUCCUCUAAAAAGUUGAGCCCAGCAGGAUGGCAGAGCCACAUAGUUCCAGGACUGUCAGCUGGGUCUGAGCCUCGAGAUAAGAGACUACGACUUCCCAGGGCAGAGAAGGUUUACACAUCAGAACUGAGGCACUGCCCCCUGAACAUUAAAUGCUACCUCAGUGUGUUAUGCAGAUUGGCCUUUCUGUACACCCUUCUCUCUGCUUAUUGCAGAGGAGCUCUCAGGCCUCCUAGCUGGCCCCGCUCACAUCACUCACAUAAUCCCCACCACUCUCACUGUCGCUCACCCGCAAGUCACUCCCUUCUUCACAAAUUAAUAAAAUUCAGGUUAGGCUCUGGGUCAAGGCCUUUGUCCUGUGAACCCUCAUCUGGACCGGACUCAGGACCCCUUGGCUGCCUGUAACUGUAAAUGUCUCAGCCUCUUUAUUCUUGCUGUGGGUUGCAUUGGAGAUGACAGAUUAAAAUUAACUUGAUAAAAUUUCAGUAGCAUUUCCAUGAGAUUAUAAAUACUAACUUCCUGGACCACAUGGUAAGACCAGAAAAAGGGGCGGGCUUCAUAAGGUAUUUUGUCUAAGCAAUGAAGAGGUAACUAAGGCUGUUCCGGAGGCAGCCUGAGAUCCACACUCGUUCACUCCUCCACUGUCGGCAACCAGUCUUCUUGUUGUGUGGUGAACUUUUAAGGAGUUGCUCAGAUGUUUUCCUUCGUUUCUUAUAAACUCAGUAAUGCAUUUAAAAGUUACAUUUGUUGAUUAAAAAAAAAAGUUACAUUUGUUGUGAUUUACCUGGCAUUGAGAAGUUCUGCUGCUGCAAAGCUUUUCAAAAUAUCUUGUCUGCGACAGAGCAAGAAAAGAGUGUGAGCAGCACUUUAACCUACUGGCGAAAGAAUCUCUGGCCCAGAAAACAUGGGGUCCUUGCCCGGAGAGGGCAGCUCAGAUUUUAUGGUCCUAUGAACUCUCCUGUAGAGUCCUGGAUGGUUACUUCCUAAAACGGCUGCAUUCACUGCUGCUCCCAUUACCCCAUGUGGCUCAGCCCAGGGGUCCACAGCACGAGCUCUAGGAAAGGCUGCUCUGGUUUGCCCUCGGCUCUCCCAGCUGUAGUGAUGGGGAACUGGACAAGUUACUGCAAUACUGUGACUCUGUUUCUCCAUCUGUAAAAUGGGAAUCAUGGUAAAAAUCCUCUUAGAGACUGCUAGUUUAAGCUGAGAGAAAUCAGCACCAAACUCCCAUCCCUGGAAGUAACAGGAAACAGGAAAAUAGAUCUUUUGCAGAAUGGAAGAAGACCAAGAGAUAGAGGGGAUGGAGGAAGGAGAUGAAACAAGGAUUAGGAUGGGUUAUAUCCAGCACCAAGUCCCUAGGAGGAAUGUGAUCACUGUGUGUUGCAUGCAUGCACUAAUACAAAGUUAAAAGUUUCCACCACUGAUUCAAGAGCUCAAAUGAUACAUGACUUGAUUCUGAUAAACUUUAUUUUCAGUACAUUGUCAUGGAACAAGCAGCUGGGAGCGUUGUGUGUUAGUAAAUUGUUAUGGUUUGUGUCUGGAGUCCCCUCAAAGCCUCAAGCACUUUUAGAUGGGGCUUUUUGGGAGGUGGCUGCAUCUAGUUUGUGAUUGAUUCAUGGUUCAAUGCUGGGAUUAAGGGUGUUGGGAUUAAGGGUGGGUGACUGCUGGAUCAAGUCACUGAUCAGAUUGGCAUGGCUCUAGUCCCAGUGUACUGGAUACAAUCUAAGGCACAGAAAGAGGUGUGUUCUUCCAUCCUCUCUUCUGCAACCAUGAACACUUGCCCCUCUGCCUCGCUGCCUUACAGCCAGCCGAUUACAGACAAAAACCUCCACAAACUGUGAGCUCAAUAAGCCUCUCCUCCUACCUGGACUGUAGGGUAUUUUGUCUCAGCAAUGAGAAAAAAUAACUAAAGCUUACAUGAUUCAGUACACAUUUCCCCCCCAUCCCGACAUUCAUGUCUGCCUCAUCUUCUCUGGGUACAAGGCACCGACGAUGCUCUGGAGCUGCCAGAAUUUCCCCCAACUCCUGACGCACUCUAAAAUUGAGCAACAUACAUGUCCUUCCUCUUUGUUAACAACUCCUCUCAGAGGCUCAAAGACCUCACUGCACAGCCAAAGACACUUCUGCAAAAUCACAAGGGCUUGGGCUCCUAAGAGAAAUGGGGCCAGGCUGCAGUCAUUCCCUUUAUUCUCAGUGGUAGUUCUUGCUACCCGGGUGAUGGUGGGUUUAUUUUUGUUUCACUACAAUGAGAUUUUAAAAACCAACGAUUGGUGGAGAGAGCUAAUAGGACCCAGUCAAGGUCCCAGCUCUUAAAACUGCUUGCCGGCAAGACAACCCACUUGACCUUGGCAUACAGGAGGCUAAGUCUGAUGUUAUGUCAGGGCAACGGGGCUCCAGAAAGCUGGGAGAGCAGCGAGAUGUCCUCCUUCUCACCCUGACACUCAGGAGCUGGGGAGGGAGGGUACAGGGCUUCCUACUCAAAGGACCCCAGGAUAAGCCUCUUAAAGGGGUGCUGCUGUCCACCUACCAACCUUCCACGGCUGCAGCCUGCUGAGCAAGGGACAAGCAGGGAAGCUGUGCUGCCCAAUGCAUUCGUGGGCCAGUGGAAAGAAGGGAGACCCCCACAGGGCACUUCCUCCCCCACCCGUCCACUGAGCCUUUGAUCCCUGUGAAGAGUGGGCACCAGUUUCUGGAAGCACUGGAGCAGGGGAGAAACUACAGAACAAGCAACAAACACUGAAAGUGUCCAGCUGGGCAGAAGCCCAUUUGUUCUACCCGCUGCUUAGAGACACAUAAGUCCCUGCACGGGAGUGUGGGAGUCCUGCUGGCAGCUGUGCUCUGCAGCCUGCGACGUGGGCGGCGUGCACAAGGGUGCAGCCCACCCUCUAACGGAUGUGUGCCAGCGCCUCCUGGAACAGGCACCAGAGCUCUGGGCCAACAAGGAGGCGCGUUCUCUGAAAGACACCUGGAUGGCGGCAGCGGUCACCUCAAAGCUCUGAUGCAAAGUGGUCUGGAGGCUGGGAACCCCUCCAGCACAGGAUGGGUCAAAGGGGACAGGGCUGGAGGGGCUGCGAGCCUCCUUUCAUACUCUGGAGCCGGAAUGCACUGGCUAUGUCCCAAGGUCAUCUCUGCUUCAUGAAGGGCAGGGCUUUCUUUCUUUUUCAUUUUUAUCGGUACCAGGGAUCGAACUCACUACCACCUGCUUCCAAGGCAGGUGCUUAUGCCACUGAGCUAAAUCCCCAGCCCCAGGGCAGGGCUUUCUAAAGUAAGGCACUUCUACUGUGUGUCCUGCCUGUCGAGGAUGGAAGUCUGAGUGAUUACUUUUUUAUCUUUGGUACUGGGCAUCUAACUCAUGACCUCAUGCUUGCGAGGCAGGUGCUUAGGCCACAGAGCUAAAUCCCCCAGCCCUGGUCUGAGUGUUUACAGAACUUGGAAAAAGAUGCUUGAAGAAUUGCGGGGAGGGGAUUCUGAAACAAGUGUUUCUGAACUAAACUCAAGAAGGUGGACCGCAAAAAGAGUUCUCCAGAAGACAGUGCCAUAAUAGGGCCUUAAAAAAAAAAAGGUGUACUGGAGAGAUCACCUGAGGACAAAUAACAGGAAGAGCCUAAGAAGGGACCAAAAAGGAUUACAGAAAAACAGCCCUGCGCAAGAGUGGGAAGAAAACAUCUCUGAGAAAGCGCUAGAGAAGAUGCGGAAGAAAAGGUGCAUCUGGCAACAGCUUUGAUUACUGUUAAGGCUGAUACAUUGCCUUAACUUGAGAAGUUUAUUAACUGGGAGACUCAGCAGGGAGCCAGGAUCCUUACUUUGUAAAUAUCCUCAGCCUGUGCAAGAGGAGGGCUCACUGCCCUGGAGGAAGAGGAUGCCCUGUGUACGAUAUAAGGGAGGAGGGGGUUGUGCUCUCCUUACUUCCUCUGGCUGCUGCCUUGAAGUGUUGUCCCUCUGCCACGCCACCUACCUUGGAGCCAGCUGAUUAUGGACUGAAAUCUCCACAAACUGUGAGCUAAAUGAACCUUUCCAAAGUGAACGAAGGACAUGCAGCUGGAGAAGGGCUGAAGGUGCUGCUGAAGAGCAGUGGAGGGUCCAGGGGAAAGGAAGAUGCAGGAGACGCGGGCGCAAGGGGGUGUGGAGAUGGUGAUGCCAACAGGAAGCUGUGUGGGGAAGCUGUGUGGGGAAGCUGUGUGGGGAGUCUGGGGGCUCUGUGGGGGUGCUGGGAUGCUAAGGAAGGUCCCUGGGCACUGGUGGCAGCUCUGUCCUCUGCAGUGGUGAUAGUGAGGGGGAGGACGCUGAGGAUGCCAGGUGAGGAUGCGGGUGGUGGUGGAAUCCGAUCUCUCACACUUGCACUCAGGGAGAAUCCCACAGCGACACACACCAACACCACCGGGGACUGAUGGUCGUGUUCCAGGACCAUGCACACAGUGACAGGAGGCCACCAGGCUAAGGCACUGAAAGGUUCACUGUAACUAGUACCAAAUGAUCUUAAACACAUGGUAACUGGCUGUCCAAUGGACACUUCACAGUCAUAACGCAAGCAUAAAGAGAAAAAAGAUAAAAA